rnacentral:rRNA from 1 species
GAUGAACGCUAGCGGCAGGCCUAACACAUGCAAGUCGAGGGGCAGCGGGGAGUAGCAAUACUUUGCCGGCGACCGGCGCACGGGUGCGUAACGCGUAUGUGACCUACCUAUAACAGGGGGAUAACCCAGAGAAAUUUGGACUAAUACCCCAUAUUAUUAUUGAGCUGCAUGGUUUGAUAAUGAAAGACGCGAGUUGGUUAUAGAUGGGCAUGCGUGACAUUAGCUAGUUGGUAAGGUAACGGCUUACCAAGGCGACGAUGUCUAGGGGAACUGAGAGGUUAAUCCCCCACACUGGUACUGAGACACGGACCAGACUCCUACGGGAGGCAGCAGUGAGGAAUAUUGGUCAAUGGUCGGAAGACUGACCAGCCAUGCCGCGUGAAGGAAGAAUGUCCUAUGGAUUGUAAACUUCUUUUGUAAGGGUAGACGAAAUUAAAGGUUCCAUGCGUGGGAUGAUGAGAGUACCUUACGAACAAGCAUCGGCUAACUCCGUGCCAG